CAUCUGUAUAUAAAUGAGGAGUAACUCCACUGAAGCCAAUGGAAUCACACUGGGAAGGACAAGGAAUUCAGAAAAUUCUAUUCCUAAAGUCAUGUUAACUGUGGACAGCCCCAAAAGUAAGUUUUCCCACUUUCACCCUGCCAGUGAUGACUACAGCUUCAACUUGAAGAAUCUGCCAUCUUAAAUGCUAGCAAUUUUAACAGAAGGAGCAAGAGGAGACCAAGUUCGUAUGGAAUGGAGGAGAAGAGAAGGACUCCACCCCACUCUCCUUGGAUGCAGUGCAUAUCUCCCGUGCCAUGCUGGGCUAACUGCAUGAAUCAGCACAGAUGAGAGCAUGGUCCUGGCCCCUUCUGAGGCAGCUAGAACUGGCAAUGACACUAAUAUGGAGCAUCUCCUACAUUUAAGAGAGUGCUAGUAUUGCCACUAUGACCAGCUCUUGCAAUACAAGUGCAGCAGGGAGAGAGGAGAUGAGAAGAAGAUUCUCCUUGCCCCAUCCCUGCCUUGCAUAUCCAUACAUAGACCAACUACACUUAUGCCCUGUGUCUAUAUAGCAAAAUAACCUGUGAUACCAAGAUAUCGGAUAUAUGAAAAUUGCCUCGCUUCAGGUAUAUUAUUCAAAUGUUUAAACUAUGCGCAGAGUGAAUGAACAGUUCUUGUUAACCUGUUGACUGUAAUCCAGCAGUACAAUAAUUAAACAUUUAAUAUAAUCUAUUACUGUAGUCAUUUAGCAUCUUUAGGUAAGGAUUUCAAACAUUAAGCCACACAAGCCCACCACCCCCACCAUGAACCUGAGUGAGUAGUGUUAAUCCCUUUUCACCGAUGGAGAAACUGAGGAAUAGAGUGGUUAAGUGGCGUGCUCAAAAACACAAAGGUAUGUCUCCAUAUCAUUCCACACAAACUAUCGGCCAAAUCCUGACUGGGCACAUGCACAUAACAGCACAAAACCCCACACCACUGCUAUUGCACUCGCUGGACAUGAAGACCACCUUAUUCUGGCCCUUAACAAAAGUCAU